AACUGAGGAGCACUCGUCCAUUUCUUUCGUUGUUGUUUUGUUUCCUUUCGUUUUCACAUUUCGUUUUACAAUGGAGGAUGACAUAUCCAAAGGAUUUUCUUUCGGUCGAAGCAGGAUGUCACCAGUAAAGGGAAAUCGGCAGUUUGCAAACAUACUUUAUUGAGGCUGCGUUCGACUUUGUUGUGCAACAGGAUGUCUCAUCGGCCCAGACAGCGAGGACACCUGACAAAAACACCUCAAGGUCGCUGAGAAAGGAGAAUAACACUCCGUCCUGGUGGUGGUCGGGCUUCGCGGCUGGGGAGAACCCAACCCAACCGCCAGACAGCUGAGGCCGGUCAGCUGCACUCACCGAUAACACUCAGACAGGGAGGAGACGGCCAUCGACCGGUCGGUCAUCACACAAUGUUUUGCAUGUUUGAAUAUUCCUAUUGUGUUUCUUUAGAACUGCGCAACCCGGAUGAAUGUGUUGUCUCUUGAUGGUCACAAGUUCACGGUCGCGAGUUUUAGUGUGAGGGGACCUGGGACCCAGGCGCCUGGAUUAGCUUGCUUUGUCAGGAAUAAACAAUUGGUCAAUUCGG